rnacentral:rRNA from 1 species
AGAGUUUGAUCCUGGCUCAGAACGAACGUUGGCGGGAUGUUUUAAGCAUGCAAGUCGAGCGGUAGUCUUCGGACGAGAGCGGCGAACGGGUGAGUAACACGUAGGUUAUCUGCCCCGUAGACUGGGAUAGCCACUGGAAACAGUGAUUAAUACCGGAUGUGAUCGCAAGAUCAAAGGCGCGUUUGCGCCGCUACGGGAUGAGCCUGCGUCCUAUUAGCUUGUUGGUGGGGUAAUGGCCUACCAAGGCGAUGAUAGGUAGCCGACCUGAGAGGGUGAUCGGCCACAUUGGGACUGAGACACGGCCCAGACUCCUACGGGAGGCAGCAGCUGAGAAUAUUACGCAAUGGGCGAAAGCCUGACGUAGCAAUCCCGCGUGGAUGAUGAAGGCCUUCGGGUUGUAAAAUCCUUUCGGCAUGGAAGAAUAAACUAAUAUGAAAUGUAUUGGAGAUGACUGUACAUGCAGAAGAAGCACCGGCUAAUUACGUGCCAGCAGCCGCGGUAAUACGUAGGGUGCUAACGUUGUUCGGAUUCACUGGGCGUAAAGGGUAUGUAGGCGGCCGAUUUAGUUAGUGGUGCAAUCCCGGGGCUCAACCCCGGACCUGCCAUUAAUACUGGUUGGCUAGAGUUGUUGAUAUAGGUAGCAGGAAUUCCAGGUGUAGGAGUGAAAUCUGUAGAUAUCUGGAGGAACACCAAUGGCGAAGGCAAGCUACUGGGUGACGACUGACGCUGAGGUACGAGAGCUAGGGUAGCGAACGGGAUUAGAGACCCCGGUAGUCCUAGCCGUAAACGUUGUAUACUGGUUUUAUGGGUUUUUAUUAAUCUGUGAAACGUAGCUAACGCGAUAAGUAUACCGCCUGGGGAGUAUGCACGCAAGUGUGAAACUCAAAGGAAUUGACGGGGGCUCGCACAAGCGGUGGAGCAUGUGGUUUAAUUCGAUGAUACGCGAAGAACCUCACCCGGGCUUGAACGUGUAGUGACAGCCGGUUAAAGCCGGUCUCCCUUCGGGGCACUAUGCGAGGUGCUGCAUGGUUGUCGUCAGCUCGUGUUGUGAAAUGUUGGGUUAAGUCCCGCAACGAGCGCAACCCUUAUCCUAUGUUGCUAGUCCACUUCGGUGGAAAGGACUCUUAGGAGACUGCCUUGGUUAACGAGGAGGAAGGUGGGGAUGACGUCAAAUCCUCAUGGCCCUUAUGUCCGGGGCUACACACGUGCUACAAUGGGAAGUACAAAGGGACGCAAAACCGCGAGGUUUAGCAAAUCCCAAAAAACUUUCCUCAGUUCGGAUUGCAGUCUGCAACUCGACUGCAUGAAGUUGGAAUCGCUAGUAAUCACAGAUCAGCAUGCUGUGGUGUAUACGUUCUCGAGCCUUGUACACACCGCCCGUCACACCACCCGAGUUGGAAGUACCCGAAGUCGUCAUACUAACCGCAAGGGAGGAGAUGCCGAAGGUACUUUUAAUAAGGAGGGUGAAGU